rnacentral:rRNA from 1 species
CACCUGCAAGAUGCACAGCUUCGUGUGGGUGCUUGGCGCGAUUUUGGUGCUAGCGAGACGGGGGCUUUGCAGCAGCAUUGCGGAUUGAACCUCUUGGUCACGGUUCCACUGUCCGACGUCAAGGACCACUCAAAGCGCGCGGCUCU